rnacentral:rRNA from 1 species
CAACCUGUUUAUACUAAUGAUCCCAUUGAUGUAUUAAACAUCAAGCUAAAGAGAAUUAAGAAAUUUUUCAAAGGUUUGGGUUCCAAUAUAUUUGGUCAGAAUAAGAUCAGGAAAAAUCUUAUUAAGCUCGAGCUACAAGAGCUAGAAAAACUUGAGGAAGAGAAUGAUCUUUGUGGGGAGGCUUACACUAGGAAGUUGGACAUACUAGUAGAACUUAAUAACAUGUAUGUUGAGGAAGAGACCCAUUGGCAUCAGUUUUCUAAUGGGAGAUGGCUCCUGAAAGGUGAUAAUAACACAGACUUUUUUCAUAAAGUGGCUAAUGGGCGACGUAGAAAACAUUCUAUGAUCUCGCUGGAGUGUGGGGUGAUUGUAGAAGGGACUAAAAAUCUACUGUCCCAUGCUACUGCGUAUUAUAGAGACCUAUUUGGACCGGCCCCUGGUAAUACUUGUAAGAUUGAUGCCUCCCUUUGGUCCCAGGAUGAAAACAUC